rnacentral:rRNA from 1 species
GAUGAACGCUGGCGGCGUGCCUAACACAUGCAAGUCGAACGAAGCACCUUACCUGAUUCUUCGCUUGAAAUUUUGGUGACUGAGUGGCGGACGGGUGAGUAACGCGUGGGUAACCUGCCCUGUACAGGGGGAUAACAGCUGUAAACGGCUGCUAAUACCUCAUAAGCGCACUAGGAGACAUCUCCUUGUUUGAAAAACUCCGGUGGUACAGGAUGGGCCCGCGUCUGAUUCGCUGGUUGGCAGGGUAACGGCCUACCAAGGCAACGAUCAGUAGCCGGGCUGAGAGGCUGAACGGACACACUGGAAGUGAGACACGGUCCAAACUCCUACGGGAGGCAGCAGAGGGGAAUAUUGCAAAAUGGGGGAAACGCUGAUGCAGCAACGCCGCGUGAGUGAAGAAGUAUUUCGGUAUGUAAAGCUCUAUCAGCAGGGAAGAUAAUGACGGUACCUGAAUAAGAAGCUCCGGCUAAAUACGUG